UACGUAGGGCGCAAGCGUUAUCCGGAAUUAUUGGGCGUAAAGAGCUCGUAGGCGGUUUGUCGCGUCUGCUGUGAAAACCCGAGGCUCAACCUCGGGCCUGCAGUGGGUACGGGCAGACUAGAGUGCGGUAGGGGAGACUGGAAUUCCUGGUGUAGCGGUGGAAUGCGCAGAUAUCAGGAGGAACACCGAUGGCGAAGGCAGGUCUCUGGGCCGCAACUGACGCUGAGGAGCGAAAGCAUGGGGAGCGAACAGG
rnacentral:rRNA from 1 species